rnacentral:lncRNA from 1 species
AAACCGAAAACUUUUUAAUUCCCCUCUUAUAUGAGACUAUUAUGGUUUUUGCACUUGAAAAGGGGCAAGCAUAAUACUUAAAAAAAAACCUAUUAAAAAGACACUUCUUUGUUUUCUUGUUUCCUUUAGAACGUGUUAUUUAAUUUGACUAAGCGCGAGCAAAGUUAGGGACAAAAUAGUGCACAUAGAAGUUUAGGGAUGAAUAAGAAAUAUAAUUUGAAAAAAUAGAAAAAAAUAUAAUAUUUUUUAAUUGGUAGUUUGAUGGUGAAAUAUAAAUUUGAGGGGAAAAACAAACACACACACAACACACACACAUAAUAAUAUAGAAUAUAUUAGCCCCCCAAAAUAAUUUCACUCUAUUUUUGUACAUAGAUCUAUAUUUUUUUGUUUUAUAUAAACUUAAACAAGAACCAUUCUUUUUUAUUUAUUUUUUGCACAGAUGUAAGAAUGCUUUGUAAUUUUGUUAGAAUAUCGACAUUACAAUAUUCGUAUCUAUACUAUAUAGUAUAUACUAAGCAAGAAUUAAUUUCCUAAAAAAAAAUAAGAAGUCUGCUAAUUAUUUCUCUCUCCUACGUGGAAUAUUUCUUAAUAAAUUUUGUUUUCUAAUUAUAAUUUAUUUAGGUCAAAGGACUUCAAAAACAAUUAGAAAAGAGAUUUAUUGAGAAAAUUCCACUAUUAAAAAGAAUCGAAAAUCUAAAUUUUUAAAGGAAGCUUUAAUUUAAUAGUUUAUUUUCGUAAAAAACUAUAAAAAAAAUUAGAAAAAAAGUUAUUAAGAACAAAUACCACGUUAUGAGAGAGAAUCAAUGAUCAUGCUUUCGAAAUUUUUUUUAAAAAGAAAAAUUAAGUUGUACAGUUCAUUUGAGUAAAAUAAAUAUAAAAAAAUGAGAAAAAAAUUAUAGAAAAGGCCACAUUAGGGAGAGAUCAAUGAGAUGCUGUUAAUAUUUUAGGAAACUACAUUUAUAUAGUACAUGUAUACACAAUAGAUUACUCUAUAGUUUUCCAAUCUAAAAAAAACAAAAAAACAUUAACAGAAAUACAUUUAGACAAAUUUAAAUAAAUUUGAAUUUAACAUUGCCAAAAUAUAACAAGGAUAAUAAAAAAUUCUCAAACAGCAUUUAAGAAUGAUAAAUUUUAUUACCGAAAGAAAUCUAGAAUUUCUAAUUUAAAACUAAUAAAAUAAUUAAAUUAAAAUUAAAAUUAAAUAAAAACAAACCGUUAAAUAUUAGGCACAUUGUCUCUCUUGAGCUAAAUAAGGAAAAUUUAAUAAGCAAACAAAAGGAUGAAUAUAUAUUAGAUUAAAUGAAAUAAUUAAAUAAAAUAAUUCUAAAAAUUAUAAUUAUUUACUGAGGCAAUGCUUAUAUGGGCGUAGCCAUGCUAGAAUUUGACCCCACUAAAUUAAACAAAGCGAGAGAAGAGACAAGAAGAGGAAGUGAGCUGACGAAAGAAAAGGGGGAAACGGCGGAAAAAAAAAAAAGAGGAAAAUUGAGAAGAAAAGGGAGAAAUGGUAGAAGUGUUGAGACGGGGGAAAAUAGUAAGGUUGACACAAGGUGGAAUACACAAAAAAUGAUAUUUAUAAUAAAUUCUAUAAAGUAUCAAAUUUUGACACCGCGAUCAAAUUUUUAUAGCAAUUUUUGACCCAAGAGAUCUAAGUUUUAUAAUUUUAACUCUAUAACCUAAAAUUCUGGCUUCACCCCUAAUUAUUGUACAAAUGUGCAAUGUAAACUAUUACUCAUAAUAGGGACAUAAUAAUCACCAUAAUAGUUCUUAAAUGUCUUUUAAUUUUCCAAAAAAUGAAGGAACAAAAGUUUCCAAAAAUUAACAGUUUAUUCCAUUCCAUAUUGCCCUCCAAAUAAAUGCUUAAAAAAUGCCCAAACAAAACCUACCAGUAGUAUUACCUCUGCAGUUGAGAGCCCAGCCAGCGAGAAAGUUAGAGGACAGAGAAAGCGACGGAGACGCAAUCACACCGCAACACUUGCGCACGCUGAAAAAACCUAACGGUCUUUUUCUCCGUCGUCGAUCGAAUUCAAACACGUCUUCGAUUUUUUCUUCUUGUUUACACAGUUUGAUUAUUCUUCGUUUGUUUUCCGAUUUCGAUCGGUUUUGCCCUAGAUUUCUAUCGAGAAUGUGCAGGCUUCGUUUGUUCUCGGAGAAUCUGAUUCUUUUGAAUGGAAGAUAAUUGAGGGUUAUCGAGGGGAGGUGUAUGGAUAGAGGCAUUGAUUCUUCUUGUAUAUUGUGUGUUUGAUGUGUUAUUGCGGUGUGAAGAUCGAUCCGGG